rnacentral:misc_RNA from 1 species
AAAUUGAAGAAACUUUGAAUUCUGCAUCCCAUUGGCAUUUGAUAAAUAUUCUAGCAUAAAUAGCAAUAAAGACAGAAAAAGUACACAUACAAAUACAUAAUUAUAAGUCCUUCAGUGACGAAUAUUUCUUAAUGCAUAUUGAUGUAACCAUGUUUAAGGCUUUUGUUCUCAAAUAUGAUUGUGCCAAUCACGUGUUAUAGCUGGUUUGAAGUCAGUUGACCAUUACCAAUCAAUCACUAACAAAAAGCUACCAAUCCAAAUCCACUUGUUUCCAUCAUCCAAUAACAUCUUCUUCGGUAUAAUACAAUUAAUGCAAUUGCUCAAAAGAAAUACAAAUAAGGCCUCAGUCACUUUUCACUACCACUUUUAGAACUGGAGAAAUAAAUGGCCAUGCAAUAAUGCAUGAAUAAGACAGGAUCUAAUUUCCAGUCUAUGGACAUCUAAGAGUGUAAAACUGGUGGCAUAUGCAUACAUGACAUAUAAUUAGUUGAAUAAAACCUACUAAACCAUUUUAAAUGACAGUCUAAAAUACACUGUUCUUCACCACUAAAAUUAUUAACACUAAGAAAUGCCCCAGCAUUGAUAAGCAGUAAAUAAGACUCAAUGCUUGAAUUUCAAAACAAUAGGAUCAAAGGUUGCUCUAAUUUUCUCAAAGAAAAAAAAAUGAAGGUUUCAACAAUUCCAACUUAGGUGCUAUCACGCUGAUUGAAAAGAGGGAGUCCUUUGCUUAAAUUGAUUCCACCAAAAAAUGGAUCAUAUACAACAUGCAAACGUUUAUUAGGAACCAGAGUAUACUGUUAAUUCUAAUGUGCAUAUCCGUUAUUGAGUCUCCACAAUACAAAAACCAUAAGCAACCAGAAACAGGAAAGAAAGUGCACACAAUGUGGAAAAUUUGCGUGAUCAUAGAGCAUAAAAACCUGAAAUUUAGGGUCAUUAUUUUG